rnacentral:misc_RNA from 1 species
GAGACCUGAGAUGGAAGAUGCAGUUGCAAUCGUGCCUCAUUUUCUAAAAAUUCCUAUUCAAAUGCUAAUUGGUGACCGGGUGCUUGAUGGUAUGAGCAAGUAUAUAACUCACCAGACUGCUCAUUUCUUUGGAGUUUAUGAUGGUCAUGGAGGCUCACAGGUUGCAAAUUAUUGUCGCGAUCAUAUCCAUUCUGCUUUGGCUGAGGAGGGAGAAUUCAUUAAGAAUGGCCUGAGUGAUGGAAGUAUAAAAGAUAGUUGCCAAGAGCAGUGGAAAAAAAUAUUCACCAAUUGUUUUCUUAAGGUAGAUGCUGAAGUUGGAGGAAAAGGCAG